UGCCAGCCGCCGCGGUAAUACGGAAGGUGCAAGCGUUAAUCGGAAUUACUGGGCGUAAAGCGCGCGUAGGUGGCUUAGUAAGUCAGAUGUGAAAGCCCCGGGCUUAACCUGGGAAUUGCAUUUGAUACUGCUGGGCUAGAGUAUAGUAGAGGGAAGUGGAAUUCCGGGUGUAGCGGUGAAAUGCGUAGAUAUCCGGAGGAACACCAGUGGCGAAGGCGGCUUCCUGGACUAAUACUGACACUGAGGUGCGAAAGCGUGGGUAGCAAACAGGAUUAGAUA
rnacentral:rRNA from 1 species